rnacentral:misc_RNA from 1 species
GAUGAAGAACGUAGCGAAAUGCGAUAAGUAAUGUGAAUUGCAGAAUUCAGUGAAUCAUCGAAUCUUUGAACGCAUCUUGCGCUCCUUGGUAUUCUGAGGAGCAUGCCUGUUUGAGUGUCAUUAAAUUCUCAACUACACUGACUUUGAAUUGGUGUGGCUUGGAUUUGGGGGGAAAAUUGUUGUGGGCUUUUUGUAUAGUCUGCUCCCCUGAAAUUGAUUAGCGGUACCUUUGUGGAACUGUCUACAGGUGUGAUAAUUAUCUACAUCUUAGACAUCUGCUGGAAUGCUGCUCUCUAAACCUUACUUGUAUUGACAAUCUUGCCCUCAAAUCAGGUAGGACUACCCGCUGAACUUAAGCAUAUCAAUAAGCGGAGGA